AAUUUUUCUCUCCAUAAUGUUUAAAUUUUUAAAAAGCUUUUCGUUAAAGUACAGUGUUUCUUUUAGUUAAAAAAUCUGCAGAAGUGGGAUAAACUUCCUUUCAUCCCAGAUAUUUUCAUUUCCUGUUCUUUACAGAAACUUGGUUGAUACAAUGGAAAAAUCAUUGUCUUUCUAGUAAAAGGACCUGGGUUCAAAUCCUGGUUCUGAUACUCAUUACCUGUGUGACCAUGGGCUGAUCACUUACCUUUCCUGGGUCUCAGUUUCUUCAACUGUAUGCAUCAGGAUCACCAUGGAAGUCGAGAUGCUUUCCAGAGAUUCCACCAAUCACUAAUAUCACUUAAUUGGGAAUAUUUGGAAUUGUUUAGAAGGAAUCCAGGGAAGAAGGAGAGAGAAAGCAGGAUGAAGAAGUGGAAAGUUGGAAUUGCCCACCAUCUUGACACCAGGUGAAAUUAAAUACAUCCUGAGUUUUCAUGAAAUCUUUGGAGCAAAUUAAGUGAAACCACAGGCUGUCUAGGAAGGGAGCCACUGAUUGCUUUCUUCAGCAUGUUACCUUACCCUGUUAAAAUUUAACUGAGCCACUCUGAUGUUGCCUCCAACCACUUUGGUAUUUCUCUACCAUCCUCUGUGUUUCUCUUAUAUAUGAAGUAAAAUUUUGCAAUAGGCAUCGUGUCAUAAAGUUGGCUUUUCACAAGAUUGUUUCCAUAGAACAGCUGAAGUACUUAGGUAAGUGGGGGAAUUGAAAGUGAAUUCUAUUCUUACACUAUCUUUCAUAUCCAUCCUCUUUUCUCCAUUCAUAUGGCAACUAACCCUAGUCAGGUCGUAUCACCUCUAAACUGUGGCAAAAGCUUCCCAGUUGGUUUUACUAUUCUAUUUACUGUCCUUUGAUAUCAUACACCAUUUUCAGACACUAUUUUAGGAAGAAACUUUAGAAAGAAAGUGUGUCUGUGGAAAAGGUAAAUACUUUCUUUAAAAAUGUUUCCAGGGGCAGCUAGGUGUCACAGUGAAUAGAGCUCUGGUCUUGGAGUUAGGAGGACUUGAGUUCAAAUCCAGCCUGAGAUAGUUAAUACUUACUAGUUUUGUGACCCUGGGCAAGUCACUUAACCCUGAUCACCUCACCAAAAAGCAAAAAGAAAAAAGUUUCCAAAAAUUAUAAUAGCUGUUGCCAACUUGGUAAAAAAAUAAAUCCAUCUAGCAAAUGGCUAUGUAUUCA
rnacentral:lncRNA from 1 species